GACGAACGCUGGCGGCGUGCUUAACACAUGCAAGUCGAACGGAAAGGCCCUGCUUUUGUGGGGUGCUCGAGUGGCGAACGGGUGAGUAACACGUGAGUAACCUGCCCUUUACUUUGGGAUAACUUCAGGAAACUGGGGCUAAUACCGGAUAGGAGCUCCUGCUGCAUGGUGGGGGUUGGAAAGUUUCGGCGGUUGGGGAUGGACUCGCAGCUUAUCAGCUUGUUGGUGGGGUAGUGGCUUACCAAGGCUUUGACGGGUAGCCGGCCUGAGAGGGUGACCGGCCACAUUGGGACUGAGAUACGGCCCAGACUCCUACGGGAGGCAGCAGUGGGGAAUAUUGCACAAUGGGCGGAAGCCUGAUGCAGCAACGCCGCGUGCGGGAUGACGGCCUUCGGGUUGUAAACCGCUUUCGCCUGUGACGAAGCGUGAGUGACGGUAAUGGGUAAAGAAGCACCGGCUAACUACGUG
rnacentral:rRNA from 1 species